AGCGGGGUACAAGAUUUGGUCAACUCAUCAGGCUCAUGACUUGAAGAUUGCAGGUUCGAACUCUGUCCCUGCCU
rnacentral:tRNA from 1 species